GAUGAACGCUGGCGGCGUGCCUAAUACAUGCAAGUCGAGCGAAUGGAUUAAGAGCUUGCUCUUAUGAAGUUAGCGGCGGACGGGUGAGUAACACGUGGGUAACCUGCCCAUAAGACUGGGAUAACUCCGGGAAACCGGGGCUAAUACCGGAUAACAUUUUGAACCGCAUGGUUCGAAAUUGAAUGGCGGCUUCGGCUGUCACUUAUGGAUGGACUCGCGUCGCAUUAGCGAGUUGGUGAGGUAACGGCUCACCAAGGCAACGAUGCGUAGCCGACCUGAGAGGGUGAUCGGCCACACUGGGACUGAGACACGGCCCAGACUCCUACGGGAGGCAGCAGUAGGGAAUCUUCCGCAAUGGACGAAAGUCUGACGGAGCAACGCCGCGUGAGUGAUGAAGGCUUUCGGGUCGUAAAACUCUGUUGUUAGGGAAGAACAAGUGCUAGUUGAAUAAGCUGGCACCUUGACGGUACCUAACCAGAAAGCCACGGCUAACUACGUGCCAGCCGCCGCGGUAA
rnacentral:rRNA from 1 species